CAGACACACCUCAAUUUCAUUUCCAGAGAAACUGUAACUAAGGGAGUUUUGUUUGCAGUCACACAAACACAGAGAGCAGACGUCCCUCGGCAGCCGACCAGCGCAGGAUGAUGAAGAUGGCAGGAAGAGUCACAUGGUGCUGUGUAGCUCUGCUCCUUGCUCUGACCUCUGUGUCUGCUGUGCAAGUCCUCGAUUCAAUUGAUGAUUUGAAGAAUAUCGACUUUGGAGGAUCUGUACCCCAGCACAGUCUUGUGCUGCUCUACUGGUUUGCCCACACAGUUGACAUUGUUGGUAAUUCAAUACGGCUGACAUUUGACCCAGACAAUGAUGAGUAUGGCGCACAUCAUUUUGGCAACUUUGAGAAUAUGUUGGACCUGCCUCGAGGAUACAAGUACUACACUGUUGGAAAUCUCAAAGACAACAUACUGAGGCCACUUCCAGAUUAUGUUGUCAAUCCCCCAACUUUGUCGAACGAAGGAAACAGGGACAGGAUCAUAUUUAGUGUCCGGAAUCAAUGGAUCAACCAAGUGUACAUCACACAGCAUUAUGGAAAUUCAGACAUCUAUGGGACAGAAUAUGAUCCAAAUUGUACCUACCACAUCACAACUAACCUUUUAAGACAGAUCAGAGAAUUUUCUAUGGGAGGAAACUACCAGACCCUGUUGAGUCUCCACAAUCGCUUUGGAAGUAAUGCUGAUGUGUCCAGCAUCAUAAACACAUGGGGUAGACUUGCCUGCCUUGGACUGUUUUUGAGUAUUGUGAGGCAGAGAAACGUCUACAGAGCUCAGCUACAAAGUGGAAGAACAGGAAACAGUAACAUUAGUCGUCUUGGAACACAUGAGUUGUCUUGGAACACAAGAUCAGGCAUUAACCACACCCCACAUCACCCAGAUGACAACCAAUGCUUAAUGUUUCUGCUUUUUUUGGUCUUUAUCGUCUUUUUCCUUGUUGUGUGUGCACUGAGUAAAUGAGUUAACCUCAUUAUUGAACAUCGUUCCUUUAAGGUUUAGAAAUAAGCUUGUUAUCUUCGUAUGCUCCAGAGUGCUGUCAGUCAGCCAGUCAGUCAAUUUUAUUCAGAUUAAAACCAGUGAUCAGCAUAUCUUUUACAAUCAUGUUGGGAGGUGAUGAGUACAUACUUUGGGUUGACUCUUAUCUUUGUACAAAAGCUGAAGUCUUUAACCUCCAAGGCACUGUUUCAGACAUCUGCUGUAAAUAUCAAAUUACAGCAUUUUGAUGAACUUUACCUGCCUGGAUAAAAAUGUGCUGUAAACAACUUAAGCUUUUUUCUACCUUGAAAUAAUAUAAAAGAUUAAAAAAACAGUAACUUCAUUCAUAUAGAGCCUUUCUAACAUUACCACUUCAAGUGCCUUUAUAAUACAUGUUUUACUUACCCUUUUACACACAUAAUCUUACACAUGCAAAGCUUUUGAUCAGUUAAUCAUUCACAGCAGGUUAUUCCUUCAGGGCCAGUUUUCUAUUCUGUUUGUUGAUCAUUUUUUUAACGUUUGUCUUGUUGGCCAUUUUGCCUUUAUUUGAUAGGACAGUGAAAAUCUGGGAGAGAACAUGGAGGAAACAGUGGGAUGACACGCAGCAAAGGGCCAAGUGUUGGAGACCAACAUGGGGCCGUUGCAGCGAAGAUGCCUCUGUGAAGGCUUUAUAGAGUGCUCAUUUACGGUCUGUUUUUUUUUUGCUUUUGGUAAAAGGAUUGUAAUUUCUAAUGGUUUUAUAUUUUUUCUGUAGGGUGAAAAUGAUGUUGAAUAAAGUAUGAUUUACCAGUGAUA